rnacentral:rRNA from 1 species
CACGGUGGAUGCCUAGGCGUCGAGAGGCGAAGAAGGACGUGGACAGCUGCGAUAAGCUUCGGGGAGCCGCUAACAGGCUUUGAUCCGGAGAUCUCCGAAUGGGACAACCCGCGCAGGGAUUACCUGCCAACGAAGUGGCGAACGCGCUGAACUGAAACAUCUAAGUAGGCGCAGGAAAAGAAAGCAACCGCGAUUCUCCUAGUAGCGGCGAGCGAACGGGGAACAGCCUAAACCAGUCGAGUGCAAGCGGUCAGCGUUGCUCGAUUGGGGUCGUGGGAUUUCUCAGGGGCCCGACACAGCCCCAGCAAGUGACAAAGCCUCAUUCUAAUCGAACGGUCUGGAACGGCCGGCCAUAGAGGGUGACAGCCCCCUUAGAUGAAAGAGCGAGGUCUUGCGAGAAACACCCGAGUACCGCCAGACACGUGCAAUCUGGUGGGAAUCUGGGGGGACCAUCCUCCAAGGCUAAAUACUACUCGACGACCGAUAGUGAACGAGUACCGCGA